UGGGGUUUUCCACACUAUAAAAACAAAAUGAAUGAUGUGAGGGAAUGUCACUAUGGUCAACCCCAUAGGGGAUUGACGGCUUGAAGCCGUCUUCCCCAAAAACUUUCAUAUCUUUUUUGGUAUGUUCAUAGUAAAAUCUACAAAUUCAAGGAACAGUCUGAUUGUCUCCCUUUAACUAUUAACCUUAACAUUUCUCUUGAUAUUACUGUCAAAUUACAUUUACAAACUAAAAAUGUUAAUUUGAUGUCAAUUAUCAUUCCCACAUAGUUAUGCAUUUUAAUUACAAAAACAGCAAUUGGUCUUUAAAAGUUAAAAACUUAUUUUCAAGGACUUUAUGAAGGAGAGUGAGCUUUGUGAAAAUGAGUAGAUCACGAUUCCUUUUAACACCACUUUCCAAACAAAUUAAAACAAAACUAACAAUAAAUGACAUUCUGAAAUAUUUGGUCUUCAAAAAACUUACUAAAAACAAGAUGUUAUAUGUUUAUGAAUUUGUAGAAGAAAUCCUGUGAUUUGACAGGAACCGCACAGUAAAACCUGCAUUUCUUUUAGAAAAAUUAUAGGAUUGGCAAUAAUAAGAUUUCAUAUUUCAAAUAAUGAUAGUAUUAUUUGAAUGCAGCAUUUGAUGACAUCGGAAUAACUAAUUUCACAUUUUUGUCUCUUGUUCAAAAUUGCAAAAUUAAAUGUACACAAACAUUUCUGUAGUUACAGUAUAUAGAUGUAUGGUAUUAACAGGUUAUAUUACUAUUGGCUAUUCAUAACAGGAUUUCCAGUUAGUGCAGGCCUUACUUUAAACAGAUUUCGUUGUAAAAAAUACAUACUCCUUUCUUCCUCGUCUAGUUUCUACAAUUACUAACAAACAUUACAAAGCUCAAUCUAAAAUUAACAGUCUAAAAGUAACAAAGAAAUCACCAAAAAAUACAAUAAUCAAACAGUGGCAUGAGCAAAAGCUUAACAAUUUGGCAAGCAUUUUCAAUCUUAUUUAUAACAUUAGACAAAAUAUAAAAAAUACAUUAGAAAAUGCUGAACAUUACAAUGAAUUAAUAAUAAAAAUAAAAAUAAAAUAAUACAAAGCAAAACCCUGUCCUAUAAAUAAGCACAAACUACAUUUUUGUGAAAC
rnacentral:lncRNA from 1 species